rnacentral:Y_RNA from 1 species
GGCUGGUCCGAGUGCAGUGGUGUCUUACAACUAAUUGAUCACAGUCAGUUACAGAUUUCUUUGUUCCUUCUCCACUCCCACUGCUUCACUUGACUAGCCUAAA